UGCAGUCGACGAUGAUGCCCAGCUUGCUGGGUGGAUUAGUGGCGAACGGGUGAGUAACACGUGAGUAACCUGCCCCUGACUCUGGGAUAAGCGUUGGAAACGACGUCUAAUACUGGAUAUGACUGCCGGCCGCAUGGUCUGGUGGUGGAAAGAUUUUUUGGUUGGGGAUGGACUCGCGGCCUAUCAGCUUGUUGGUGAGGUAAUGGCUCACCAAGGCGACGACGGGUAGCCGGCCUGAGAGGGUGACCGGCCACACUGGGACUGAGACACGGCCCAGACUCCUACGGGAGGCAGCAGUGGGGAAUAUUGCACAAUGGGCGAAAGCCUGAUGCAGCAACGCCGCGUGAGGGAUGACGGCCUUCGGGUUGUAAACCUCUUUUAGUAGGGAAGAAGCGAAAGUGACGGUACCUGCAGAAAAAGCACCGGCUAACUACGUGCCAGCAGCCGCGGUAAUACGUAGGGUGCAAGCGUUGUCCGGAAUUAUUGGGCGUAAAGAGCUCGUAGGCGGUUUGUCGCGUCUGCUGUGAAAUCCCGAGGCUCAACCUCGGGCUUGCAGUGGGUACGGGCAGACUAGAGUGCGGUAGGGGAGAUUGGAAUUCCUGGUGUAGCGGUGGAAUGCGCAGAUAUCAGGAGGAACACCGAUGGCGAAGGCAGAUCUCU
rnacentral:rRNA from 1 species